AAACUCCAUGAGUCUUGAGGAUUUUCGGAAUGUUGGAAUCAGUGGUGUUUUGUUUUUGAUGAUAUUAUCCGAUGGAGGUGACAGGGAGAGAAGAUGCUAGCUCAAUGGUGCUGGCCGUGAAGGAUUUUGGCGCAUCCAAGGAUAUAACCAACAUAUACACAAUGCUUACAAGGAGAUAUCGACUCAUUUGAUUGCUAUAUUGGCUUUGGUCACCCUUGUGGGGCUCCUUAUCUUUGAAGCAAGGUUCGGAUGCUCUUUGGACGCAGGAAGACGAACAUGAUAGAAAAAGAAAGGGAUCAACCUUGCCAUGACCCCAUAUUUCUGUAGGCUAAUAUCCCUUAUUUGCACUAUCCUACACCGAAUACUUAUAGGGUUAUGUGCCUUUGCCAUGCAGCACAUGUCAAUGGCAGUUCAGGAAGAGAUGACAUCACAAGUGAGCUCAAUUGAUAAGCCCACUAGCAGAAAAAUGUGGUUUGAGCCUGCUCCAACCCCUCCUCUGAUGUGGUGUGGUGGGAGGAGGAAGAAGAGCAUGCAUGCUCUCUGUCUACAUCCAGCAUCCACACGGCUAGAUCGACGGGUCUAAACUAUGGUUUAGAGCUAUAGGCAGGGGCUUGCUGUAGGGGGGAUAUCAUUGUGGCAGUUGAAAACCAAAGCCUUUAUUCAUGAGUGUAUGAUCUGGACUUCACUUUUCUGAAAGGAUCCGCGGCACAGUAGGAGAGGUGACGCCGGCCGGCAGCGCCUCACCGCCAGCUAUUGUUUGGCGCCGGCAAGGAGAAGGGCGCUUAGGAUCUGCUUCACUGUGCAUGGCUGUUGAAGUUCAGCAUCGCCAUGAUGUGUAUGGUUUCUCUAUUUUCCUCAUAUUGCCCUAUUCCCAAUUUUACAAACUGCUAUGUGACGCACAAUGGCCACGCCACGCACUGGUGAGAUUCAAGGUGCAGUCGAGCAAGAGUCAGUUCGAGGUGAGGUGUCUCACGUCGAUCUCCUGCUGCUCACCAGCAAGGCUCGCUGACGAGCGGCCAGAUCCACACGAGGUGGAUGUCACACACACGGCCCUCUCCCCUCCAUCCUUUCUCUUUCCUACAACUAUUAUGUCUUUGUACCUUGUUAUAUUGCUCUUUCAUCCAUGGUGAUAAAGAUGUUAACUCAGUUUGAUAAUGGAGUCACAGAUUUGUAUAUGAUAAUUCUUGGAAUUCAAAUUGUAACAUCCAUACUAAUUUGUUGGUUUGUCUCAACCAAUAAUUCAAUGUAAACCUAUUAACAUGAAUUUUAUGGGUAUACAUUGUCUCCUCCUAUGCCAAUUGAUUUUCUCCAGAUUAGUUGCACCAUAAUUUCAAGAAGGUUACAAACCUAGCGAUGAAUGAGACUAUCAUUAUGAUUGAAGAUAGCUGACUGUGACAAUUGUUUCUUUUGAAGUUUCACUGUUUAUGGAGGUGACAAUGCUAGAUAUAUACAUCUGUAUCAUGGCACUUCUCCAGCAAACAAAAGCUUGGUAGCCAUCUACUUUCAGAGAGUUUGAAAACGUACUAUCACGCUAACUCACUUAUCCGGAUUAAUGGUAAGUGUGUGUUUUCUUGUAUACCAAUCUACAGAACUACAAUUGAGAUCUCUACCUCCUAUAUUUCCCUUUUGUCAUUUUUUCUGGCUUUUAUGCUACUACUCAAAAUGUUUGACUAUUCAAUUAUAAACGUCAUGCAGCAGUGCUUACUUUCUUACUCCCUUUAGACAUGAUUUCCCUGUCCAAACAUUCAGCUGAACCGACACUAGCAAUAUUGAUCAGCUGAACUUGCAGAAGGGGAGAGGUACUAAAGGAACAUCUUACGUAUUUUUGGUCUCAUAUUCUUUGAGUACAUAACUAUCCAUUUAUUAAAAACUAUAUUUGAUGGACAAAUUGAACAGCACAAUUUAAGGAUGAUAAAAAUAAUAAUUUUAACAAGUGGAAGUAAUGUAUGGUACCGUGUAAAAAUGAAAGGUAUAGUUUUCCCACUCCUCCAAGAUGAGUUCAGUGCCUGUGUUUAAACCAUGGAUGUAGAGAUGGUCAGGUCAAAUGAAAUGUAUGAAUACUACUACAAUUGUUGAACAUUUGAUGAAAUCAGAAGUUAAGUAGAUUACAUAUAUGUAAGUUAGUCUUGUGGCUGAUGCUUUCACCAUGAUAAAUACAACCCCGAACGCAUAUGCCAACCAAUGUUUAAGCGACUCAAAGACUAUAACUAAUGCUAAAUAUCGAUGCCUGCUACUUAGUGGCACUAUCUGGCAUGGUUCAAAAGAGAGGUAAUUGUACCUGAAGUAGUGGACACAACCAUUCCUUGCAUUUGUAAGAGUUGUGCAGUAGUAUAAUAACCAUCUUUCUUUGAGGAGCAGUGUCGUUAAGUUUCAGUAGAAGUACAGGUACACGUUCCUGUUCAGCUGACUAAUGGAAAAAAAAGUGAUAACAGAUUCUGUUAUUCAGGGAGCAAGAGCCAAAAUUUCUUCAACUAGCUUCUCCUAAGUUGCCCACCUCUUUCCUCGGGCAUGACUCAAUGGCUUGGAAAGAGCAGCAGAAUCAACACAAUCACCUUGAUCUGGAAGGUGGAAUUUGUUUGCUCAGAUCGAAGGAGGAUCCUGGCCUCUCCGAGCCCCGGAUUGCCUUGUAAAAUAGCUCCUUUACCAGACUCCCUUGCUCCAUGGCCAGAGGCACCGGGACUGCGUGACGACGAGCAGAUUCGAAGCAAGCCAUUAUUCAACUCGGGAUGCAAACUCGCGGCGCGAGGGAGAGAAAGUGAGGGGGAUGUGGUUGGCUGACCUCGGUGUUUCCGGCGGACCUACUGGUACUUCGACCAGAUGUAUCCAGCGGCAGCAGUUGGGGCUCCGGUGGAGUCGGGGCGGCGGCAGGUGACUGGACCGCGCGUGGUGGAGAACUGGAGGAGAGGGAACCGAGCCCCACACUCACGAGCCGUUUCUUGGAGCGACUGCUCACAUGCGGCACGCGGCCGGCAGCCGGCAGCGGAGGUACACGCGUGGCUGAAGCGCUAUGGGGGCCACAAGGCAGGCGGUUCCUUUUUUAUUGAUUUGUCAUGCGUGCAUGCCUUCCUGAUUGCUUGUUGUUGCCGACACAUUAAGUGAUCACGUGUCUGUAAUCCAUUGUCGUUCUUUCUGAGAGACAGUGGGAAUACAAAUACUGAGAUUUGCUUCC